rnacentral:tRNA from 1 species
AAGAAAGUGACAGAGCGGUUAUGUGAUUGACUUGAAAUCAAUCUACGGGGGUUCAACUCCUUCCUUUCUCG